UACAGAGGGUGCGAGCGUUGUCCGGAAUUACUGGGCGUAAAGGGCGCGUAGGCGGCCCGAUAAGUAGGACGUGAAAUUCCGCGGCUCAACCGCGGAACUGCGUUCUAGACUGUCGGGCUUGAGCACGGUAGAGGCAGAUGGAAUUCCCGGUGUAGCGGUGGAAUGCGUAGAGAUCGGGAGGAACACCAGUAGCGAAGGCGGCUCGCUGGGCCAUUCCUGACGCUGAGACGCGAAAGCUAGGGGAGCGAACAGG
rnacentral:rRNA from 1 species